rfam:Felis catus isolate Cinnamon breed Abyssinian chromosome X, whole genome shotgun sequence.
GCCUGGGUGGCUCAGUCGGUUGAGCGUUCGACUUCAGCUUGGGUCACGAUCUCACAGUCCAUGAGUUCGAGCCUCACCCCGGACU